rnacentral:rRNA from 1 species
CGUAACAGGUCUCCGUAGGUGAACCUGCGGAGGGAUCAUUACACAAAUAUGAAGGCGGGCUGGAACCUCUCGGGGUUACAGCCUUGCUGAAUUAUUCACCCUUGUCUUUUGCGUACUUCUUGUUUCCUUGGUGGGUUCGCCCACCACUAGGACAAACAUAAACCUUUUGUAAUUGCAAUCAGCGUCAGUAACAAAUUAAUAAUUACAACUUUCAACAACGGAUCUCUUGGUUCUGGCAUCGAUGAAGAACGCAGCGAAAUGCGAUAAGUAGUGUGAAUUGCAGAAUUCAGUGAAUCAUCGAAUCUUUGAACGCACAUCGCGCCCUUUGGUAUUCCAAAGGGCAUGCCUGUUCGAGCGUCAUUUGUACCCUCAAGCUUUGCUUGGUGUUGGGCGUCUUGUCUCUAGCUUUGCUGGAGACUCGCCUUAAAGUAAUUGGCAGCCGGCCUACUGGUUUCGGAGCGCAGCACAAGUCGCACUCUCUAUCAGCAAAGGUCUAGCAUCCAUUAAGCCUUUUUUUCAACUUUUGACCUCGGAUCAGGUAGGGAUACCCGCUGACU